ACCCAGUUGACGAGUCCCGAAUAGGACGAAAUGCGCAUCCUGGCUGGAU
rfam:Trichobilharzia regenti genome assembly, scaffold: TRE_scaffold0034834